rnacentral:piRNA from 1 species
GGGGUUGUGAAUGAAGCAAGAGAGGC